GCCCGUGAAGACCUGCAGCGCUAUCGAUAACUUGGCCCUCAGCCUUCACCGCACGCCCAGCUCUGCCAGUGUGGAAAGCUGCUUGGACUGACUACUUCCUAGAGAAGAGCAUCAAGCCAGGACUUCUGCAAAAGACAGGCACAGUUCUUCCCCUCCCUUCAGGGGUAGGAGCUGGAUUAGCAUGGGGAAGUGGAGAGGGGAAGAAUGGGAACAGCAGAAAUCAUCCUUACAGGAGAAGGAGGAAACUGACAGAGCCUUGUAUCUCAGGCCAUGAAAAGUAGUGCUAAGUGAGAUAUGAACUGCCCUGAACAGAUGCAGCUGGUGUGUUUGACUGUGAUAAGUGGUGGGAAAGCAUGCCAUAUCUUCCCUUAGGAAUGUGUUUAUUGGUUGAAAUGUUGCAUCUGAUUCCAUUUUUUACUGGCCACAUGAUUAAGAUCAGAGUCAAGAACACAACUGUGCAGAUCUCAACCACUGGGACCAUUGCUGUGUACUGAGAUAACCAAAAAAGGUAGAGACUGAAAGAAGACAGUGUGAUUUGAAAUUAAUCAAGAUGUAACAACUCCCUUCUGUAGGCUGUGGUUGGGAAUUCUCAGCUGAGCUGAGUGUGCCAAUGGCUGAUUCACAACUGCUGGCCUGUUCCUUCUCUGACCUAACACUGUGCUCUUCUCACAGCUGCUGAGCUGCUGAUAAUUCCUCUGAAGUCUAAAACCUUGGGUUGCCUGAGGUUAAGGGAGCCCUGACAGUCUGCACCAGCUGAAGAUCAGCCUCUGGGUGUCUGAACCCUACAGGGAGUGGUUUUUUUCCAGUGAACAAGAUGUUUGAGGGAACUGCAGGGACUGUGAUCUGAGAAUACUGGGGGGAAGCAACAGCCAAGACCCAAAUAAUAGUUCCUUUGGUAGCAGCUAACAUAUUUCCUGACUGCAGUGUUGUCCAUGUAACUUGAAAAGAAUUCUGAAUGAGUCUGUGGCAGAAUAAACUAGUUAAUGAGAUCAUGGGAGAGGGCUUUUUUUUCCUUGAUGACCAACCGUUGUCUUGUCUGGUAGUAAUAAAUACACGAUAACCACAAGUAAUGGAAGAGUUUAUAAUUGCCAACAAUACUGGAUCCCAGGCUUUCUUUUCCAUGGGCCAGUGCAGUGCAUGGGCCACACUGUAGUUCAGAGGAAGAACAAACAGGCUGAAAGCAAAACAUAGAUUUUCCCUUCCAGCGUGGGCUUUUGCAGUGCUUCUGAAAAAAAAAAAAAAACCAAAAACCCCAAAGCUCCCUGUAGAGUAUUUAUUUCUGUUAAUCUUUAGAGACAAGUUAUACAACUCAGGAAAAGUAUGUGAAGGAAAAGAUAGGAUGCUUUCCAUAAGGAUGGCUGGGUUUGGUAGGAAGAUCUGCUUCUGAUUAACAUGCCAAGAAGGUACUGAGGUUGAAAGAAAAUUUUACUAGACACUUUUAAAGGAAACUGUUUAGAAAAAUGCCAUGAACUGAUCUCUGAGAAAGAUCUCCAGAAUCAGUGUUUCCUUCCAGUUCACUUUGAGGUCUCUACCUUUCUUCUCUGUCAUGCACUCAAUAGCAAUAGUAAUAAUACCAAUACUUUCUGUGCUGCAACACUCUCUACUUCAAAGCACUUCACAAACACUGGACUAGAUUCAGUCUGGUCUUCUAUGGAUAUAAACUUUCUGUUGAAACAUUGGCUCUUAUAGUGAAUGGCAAAUUUCCCACUGCCUUCAGUGAGGCUGAGAUUUCACUCACUCCUUGUCAAAGAAUUUGGGCAAAGCAAACCUUCUGAAAGAGGUGAACGUGAUAGCUGAAAGGAGAUGAAACCUCUCUUCAUGUCAGGGAACACAAAAAUUCUCAAAAUGGAGGACAGGCACCUCCACACUGUUAGGGGAGUGACAAAGGGAAGAAAGCCUAACCAGUUUUUAAUCUCACAGUGUCUCUUUCUCUUAAGUCAAGCAUUAGGACAGUUCUCUGGUUUUGUUGUGCUCUCGAAUUUGUAAGUCUCUGGUAUUUAUAUAGAUAUGACUAUGGAUAAACAGCUGCUUGACUUACUAGCUUGGUUAUAGCUUACUGCCUUCUUGAUAGCCUCAGUUUUCCAGUUUUCCAGUACUUCUGCUUAGCAGUGUCACUUGCAGUUGUUUAUAAUCAGAACAGUAGGGCUUUAUGCCCCUUUACACAGAGGCAGACCAGUCAGUAGUCAGAUCCUUGCUCACAUGCAUGCUCAAAUGUGUUUUGCUUUUUAACACUGAAAACACUGCCAGUGUCUUGAAAAUUUUUAGUCCUUUCUCAUUGCUCAGUGAAGACAGCCUUUAAAGUCUUUUUGGGCUGAAGAAGAUACUGUAUGUUUUCAGAAGUAUAUUUAGAGGUUGUAAAAUGUCAAGUGUUUAUUUUGUAUGAGUAAACAUUGCUUUUAUAGUUUUGUGAUCUCAAAGAAAUUACAAACCAUAUUCAAGGCUGAAGAGGAGACAUAGCACAGAAUAUCAAAACUGAGCAGUGAGGAAGAUAUUAAAAAAUAAAAAUGCUUUAAAAACUAGUUGAAACAUUGAGUCAUGGCAGCCAGCUAUAUUUGCUCCUUCAGAUCAGGGCUCUGAACCUGAAAUCCUUAUUCAGGGUAGAAUUUAUAUGAUGUUGCCAUCUGCCUUUGCUUUUGAAUGAUCCUACUGAGCAUUUCUACCCUCCUGGGGUAAAUAAACCCCAUCUGUCCAACAGUGUCUGUUACCUGAACUGCUCUCAUUUUCAGCUUCCAGUUGGUACAUCCUGAAUAUGCCAAAGAGCAGUCCUGACAUCUUGGCCUUGUUUUUAUUUCUGCUCUUCCGUGUAUGUAUCUUAUUACAUGGAAGUAUGCUGAGAGGUAGUUUGCCAUGUAAAAAAUGUGAUGAAAAUUGAAGGAAGACUUCAGAUUUUGGCCACAGUUCCACAUUUUUUUUCCUAUGUAUAAGUCUUUACAGCACAGCCAGAAGAGAAUAUGGAAACAGCUGAAAAGUAAGUGGCUCUUCUCCUCCUUAGGUCUAAAGUCAUAAUUUCUUUGCGUAUAUUGGAAAAGCUGCUUUCCAAAUAUGAGCUUCACAGAGUUACUGUGGCCUUGUAUUUGCAUUCUGUGCCUCAUCACUAGGAGCAGCUGAACUAGUUUAAAUUCUCAAAAGCAAUGAGAAAUUCACUAGAGACAAUAAAUCAUAGACAUCAUGAACUUCUGACUAGUGUGAAGUCAUUCAGAAAUAUAUUUCCCACCAGAUCUCUGCAGUCUGUGGUAUUCCCAUCAGGUGAUUAAUCCUCUGUCAGGGUGCAAAAGGAGACAAGGAAAUAUAGCAGAUAAGGAAUACAACACUGAUUAUGCUUCCAGACUCUUUGGGUGAUAGAAACAGACUGCAACCAGUUGCAAUGCCUUACACUGUAUGCCUUUUAAACAUUCUAAAUUAUGACUGAAGUGAUAAAGUGCUCUGAAGUAUAGAUGUGUGAGUGCAUGUAGAAGUCUGAAGUGUAAAGAAUAAAUAAUAAAAACACUGCAUUAUCUUUCCUGACUAGCUGAAAAUACAUAUUUUUUGGGUAGUUUUAAGGUUUUCAGGUUUUAUUUUUUUCCCUUUGGGCUGGGAAUGCAGUCCCUGUAGUGUGAGAGGAACACACAAUAUUUGAAAUUGUCUGUUACAGUGAUUACUGUCACUAUUGGCCUCUGAGUGUGCUUGCUCUCAUAGGAAAACUUGGCAGCAUUGGAUGUUACCAGAUGCUUGAAGUUUGAGUAAAAGUGGAGAGGAGCACAGGUGUAUAAACCCAGGAGAAUGAACAACUCAGUGAACAGGAAUUAUGAUCAAAUACAAGAAAGAAGAGUGCAUUGGUGGUGUUUGAGUGAAAAAUGCAAUUUUUCUAUUGCAGAGAUUGAAGAGAUUUUUGACUGAAAUCAGGGAUUUAAAAGAAAAGAGUGGAUGCCCUUAAACACUUUUUCCCUGAAGGACUCUAAAUGUUGUGGUGAUUGUUGUUUGACCUGACUGGCACUGUCUGAAUGAGAAGGGGUGGGAAUGAUAUUUGGAGCUGUCGAUAAGGAUUCUGAUUGAAAUACUGCAUGCCUCAAAGAAGCAAGGAAUGGAAGGCAAGUAGCUUUUGGCUUCAGUCUUGAACGGUUAAAAGGAAGAGAGUGCCAUGUAAUCAGAACUGAAAUUUCAUUAAAGGCAUGGAACAGAUUGUGUGGCUCUCAUUUACACCUGCACAAAUUUGGAUUUGGUCCAUGAAGCCCAACUAACCGGUGGAACUGAGCUUGGCUUCUUAUGCAUGCGUGGUCCCUGGCUCUGGCAGCAGUGGCGGGUGAGCUGCUAUCAGGAAAUGGGGCAUGUGUUUCUGUCCUCAGAUCUGUGUGCUAAGUGCUAGGCCUGGCCUGACAGAUGUUAAAGUGCCUCUGAGUAAGCAGGGAAAUUAUAUACAAAAGUUUCCUAUUACGGCUGGAAUAAACAAUUUCUUAACUUUU